UGCCAGCCGCCGCGGUAAUACGGAGGGUGCAAGCGUUGCUCGGAAUUACUGGGCGUAAAGCGCACGCAGGCGGCUUGAUAAGUCGGAUGUGAAAGCCCGGAGCUCAACUCCGGAACUGCAUUCGAUACUGUCUCGCUUGAGUUCGAGAGAGGGUGGUGGAAUUCCUGGUGUAGAGGUGAAAUUCGUUGAUAUCAGGAGGAACACCGGCGGCGAAGGCGGCCACCUGGCUCGAUACUGACGCUCAUGUGCGAAAGCGUGGGGAGCAAACAGGAUUAGAUA
rnacentral:rRNA from 1 species